UACGGAGGGUGCGAGCGUUGUCCGGAAUCACUGGGCGUAAAGGGCGCGUAGGCGGCCUGAUAAGUAGGGGGUGAAAUCCUGCGGCUUAACCGCAGGGCUGCCUUCUAAACUGUCAGGCUAGAGCACAGUAGAGGCAGGUGGAAUUCCUGGUGUAGCGGUGGAAUGCGCAGAUAUCAGGAGGAACACCGGUGGCGAAGGCGGGUCUCUGGGCAGUAACUGACGCUGAGACCCGAAAGCCAGGGGAGCGAACCGG
rnacentral:rRNA from 1 species